AGCGAACGCUGGCGGCAGGCUUAACACAUGCAAGUCGAGCGGGCACUUCGGUGUCAGCGGCAGACGGGUGAGUAACACGUGGGAACGUACCCUUUGGUUCGGAAUAACGCUGGGAAACUAGCGCUAAUACCGGAUACGCCCUUUUGGGGAAAGGCUUGCUGCCGAAGGAUCGGCCCGCGUCUGAUUAGCUAGUUGGUGGGGUAAUGGCCUACCAAGGCGACGAUCAGUAGCUGGUCUGAGAGGAUGAUCAGCCACACUGGGACUGAGACACGGCCCAGACUCCUACGGGAGGCAGCAGUGGGGAAUAUUGGACAAUGGGCGCAAGCCUGAUCCAGCCAGGCCGGGUGAGUGAUGAAGGCCGGAGGGUUGUAAAGCUCUUUUGUCCGGGACGAGAAUGACGGUACCGGAAGAAUAAGCCCCGGCUAACUUCGUG
rnacentral:rRNA from 1 species